UACGGAGGGUGCGAGCGUUAUCCGGAUUUACUGGGUUUAAAGGGUGUGUAGGCGGGCUUUUAAGUCAGUGGUGAAAUCUCCGGGCUCAACCCGGAAACUGCCAUUGAUACUAUUAGUCUUGAAUUCUGUUGAGGUAGGCGGAAUAAGUCAUGUAGCGGUGAAAUGCAUAGAUAUGACUUAGAACACCAAUUGCGAAGGCAGCUUACUAAACAGAUAUUGACGCUGAGGCACGAAAGCGUGGGGAUCAAACAGG
rnacentral:rRNA from 1 species